AGAGUUUGAUCCUGGCUCAGAACGAACGCUGGCGGCAUGCUUAACACAUGCAAGUCGAACGCUCCGCAAGGAGAGUGGCGCACGGGUGAGUAACGCGUGGGAACCUGCCUCUUGGUUUGGAAUAACUGCGGGAAACUGCAGCUAAUACCGGAUACGCCGGGUGCUCGUGGAGGGUGCCUGGGAAAGAUUUAUCGCCGAGA
rnacentral:rRNA from 1 species